AAAUACAAAUAAUGUACAUAGAUAAUGUUCUACUUCUCAAGUUCAGCCUGUGUGUAAUAACAUUCUUCUUCUACUCUUUAGUGGAGAAUCCUGAGAAAAUCUACCUCAGCCAGGUAAUCAAAGUCAACAUCCACAGUAUCAGUCAUGCUGAUGGCAUGUACUCUUGCUACGAGGAAAUGCUUAUGGAUGCCAUAAGUUUCUUUAUGUUUGAGAAGGUCUGACUGCCCUCUUCCCCCUUGAAUGACAAAGUCACCAGGAAGAACAUCAUGGACUCGAAUUGCUCUAGUCUGUUCUCUAUGUUUGCAUCUUCAUUGCUGCCCUGCAA